AUGCUUGUUUUAGCAGUAUAUAUUAAAAAUUGGAAUGAUGCAGAAAAGAUUAGCAUUGCCCCUGGGCAAAGAUGACAUGAAAAUGCAUAAAGUGUUCCAUAGUUUU
ensembl:snRNA U6 U6 spliceosomal RNA